UACGGGGGGGGGCAAGCGUUGUUCGGAAUUACUGGGCGUAAAGGGCUCGUAGGUGGCCAACUAAGUCAUACGUGAAAUCCCUCAGCUUAACUGGGGAACUGCGCCUGAUACUGGUUGGCUUGAGUUUGGGAGAGGGACGCGGAAUUCCAGGUGUAGCGGUGAAAUGCGUAGAUAUCUGGAGGAACACCGGUGGCGAAGGCGGCGUCCUGGACCAAUACUGACACUGAGGAGCGAAAGCCAGGGGGAGCAAACGGG
rnacentral:rRNA from 1 species